UACGUAGGGUGCGAGCGUUAAUCGGAAUUACUGGGCGUAAAGCGUGCGCAGGCGGUUCGUUGUGUCGGUGGUGAAAGCCCCGGGCUCAACCUGGGAAUGGCAAUGGAAACUGGCGGGCUGGAGUAUGGCAGAGGGGGUGGAAUUCCGCGUGUAGCAGUGAAAUGCGUAGAGAUGCGGAGGAACACCGAUGGCGAAGGCAGCCCCCUGGGCCAAUACUGACGCUCAGGCACGAAAGCGUGGGGAGCAAACAGG
rnacentral:rRNA from 1 species